rnacentral:rRNA from 1 species
GGUGGCUUUCGGGCUGUCGCAGAUGGAUGAGCCUGCGUUGGAUUAGCUAGUUGGUGGGGUAAGGGCCCACCAAGGCUACGAUCCAUAGCUGAUUUGAGAGGAUGAUCAGCCACAUUGGGACUGAGACACGGCCCAAACUCCUACGGGAGGCAGCAGUGGGGAAUAUUGGACAAUGGGGGCAACCCUGAUCCAGCAAUGCCAUGUGUGUGAAGAAGGCCCUAGGGUUGUAAAGCACUUUAGUUGGGGAGGAAAGCCUCAAGGUUAAUAGCCUUGGGGGAGGACGUUACCCAAAGAAUAAGCACCGGCUAACUCCGUGCCAGCAGCCGCGGUAAUACGGGGGGUGCAAGCGUUAAUCGGAAUUACUGGGCGUAAAGGGUCUGUAGGUGGUUUGUUAAGUCAGAUGUGAAAGCCCAGGGCUCAACCUUGGAACUGCAUUUGAUACUGGCAAACUAGAGUACGGUAGAGGAAUGGGGAAUUUCUGGUGUAGCGGUGAAAUGCGUAGAGAUCAGAAGGAACACCAAUGGCGAAGGCAACAUUCUGGACCGAUACUGACACUGAGGGACGAAAGCGUGGGGAUCAAACAGGAUUAGAUACCCUGGUAGUCCACGCUGUAAACGAUGAGUACUAGCUGUUGGAGUCGGUGUAAAGGCUCUAGUGGCGCAGCUAACGCGAUAAGUACUCCGCCUGGGGACUACGGCCGCAAGGCUAAAACUCAAAGGAAUUGACGGGGACCCGCACAAGCGGUGGAGCAUGUGGUUUAAUUCGAUGCAACGCGAAGAACCUUACCUGGUCUUGACAUCCUGCGAACUUUCUAGAGAUAGAUUGGUGCCUUCGGGAACGCAGUGACAGGUGCUGCACGGCUGUCGUCAGCUCGUGUUGUGA